GAGCACACGGUAUGUAAAUUCUCAGACUAGUCUCUGGUUUUAUUCCUCAGUGAAGGAAAUUACACGUGUCGAGAGUUCCGUUUUAAGAAUAGUCCAUACUAGCUUGAUGCUUAUCCGAGCAAUUAGAAAUUUGUAAAAUAAAACGCUACCUAGUAUGUAAUUAUAGACGAUUAGAGAAGAGGCUUGACACAACAGUGUCAAAACAAUAGGGGACACAAGUGCAUAUAACGUGUAACGUUAUCGCUUAUCUCGAGACGUUCGACGUGAAAUGAAUAGCGGUGUGAUUUUUAUUUCACAAAGAUAACGACGAUAUGGUAUUGGACAAUAGAGGAGCUCAACGUUGUUACAAACUUUCCAUUCAGUGAUAAACUAUCGCUGGUUUUAAUUGAAAUAUCUUUAAUGGGCAUGUGAGAAAAUGAAGUUAAAGUCUCUUCAAUUUGAUUUAUCUUCGAGAGGAACUCAAAUGAGAAAGUAUAUAGAAUAUUUGAAGUAAAACACUUGUAAUAUUUAUAGAAUUUGGGAUUGGGCUAGGUUAUGCUCAGAAACAUGCGCAGUCUAGUAAAAUACUGUGAUAUUUAUAAAAUGUACUUGGGUUAGGUUAUGUUCGCGAAAUAGGUUAUAUUCAUAACCUAUUUAUAAAUGGAACUUGAGACAAAAAAAAAAAAAACAAUGGCAAGAUACAAAAUCAGUAUAACAGAAGAAAAGAGAUUAAGUGGUCGAAGCAUCGAAGGAUAGUCUUUUUGUGAGGUUAUGUAGAAGGGAAAUUCCACAGGAAAGACGAUUGCACAAGCAACGAUUUGAGGAAUGCCAAAUCGAAAUAUAAAAAUCGACAUAAAACACAGGAACAGCUGUUCGCGAGUUUUAUGGAUCGUUUCUUGCGUCCGUCAUGAUUCGAGAAACGCGAUGAGAGAGGAAAGGAUUUCGUUUGUUAAACUGUCCGGAGAGUCUUGGAAAGUUCGAGCAUCAUCAGCGAGAAUUUAUUCCGAUGCAUUCAAUUUAAUAUCCGACUUAAAUCAUCAGGAUAUAUCCAACUGUCUUUCGUUAAUUAAUGUAAAUAUUGUAAUUUAAAGAAUAUACAUACAUAUAUUCUUUAAAUUAUCUAUUUUAUGUAUAUAAAUAUAUACGGAUUAAUUCGUAAAUAAAAUAACUCCCCAUAAAAAGAACGCAAUGAAAACAGAGUAAAUCGUAAAAAGUGAAGAAAGAGCCCCUGUGAUGUAUGCAACACGACCUGCGCAACUGUGAGCAUGAUUGCAGCGCCACGGAGGCAUGCACGCUUCACGUCGCUCGCAUAAUGAAUAAAAUUCAUUCCUACCUUAAUUAUAGUCAACACAUGUACAUACGAGUUUGCUUUCUCAAUCCCGAUCCCACGAGAAUUCCCGGAAUAUUAAUAUUUUAUGUUUAAGGGAAAAGU